AAGCAGACUUGAAGUCUAUUUUAUGCGAAUACUGAGCGAUGCCACACGGUAACUGCCAAUCAGAGUGAAAAGGCAGCGUGACGUCAGCUUGUUGUUCGCUCCAACAACAUAAUCCAAGAUGGCAGAAUCUGCUGA